rnacentral:rRNA from 1 species
CCUACGGGAGGCAGCAGUGAGGAAUAUUGGUCAAUGGGCGCGAGCCUGAACCAGCCAAGUCGCGUGAGGGAAGACGGUCCUAUGGAUUGUCAACCUCUUUUGUCGGGGAGCAAAAGACGCCACGCGUGGCGUUACGAGAGUACCCGAAGAAAAAGUAUCGGCUCACUCCGUGACAGCAGCCGCGGUAAUACGGAGGAUGCGAGAGUUGUCCGGAUUUAUUGGGUUUAAAGGGUGCGCAGGCGGAAGAUCAAGUCAGCGGUAAAAUUGAGAGGCUCAACCUCUUCGAGCCGUUGAAACUGGUUUUAUUGAGUGAGUGAGAAGGAUGCGGAAUGCGUGGUGUAGCGGUGAAAUGCAUAGAUAGCACGCAGAACUCCGAUUGCGAAGGCAGCAUACCGGCGCUCAACUGACGCUCAUGCACGAAAGUGUGGGUAUCGAACAGGAUUAGAUACCCCUGUAGUC